rnacentral:rRNA from 1 species
AUUGAACGCUAGCGGGAUGCCUUACACAUGCAAGUCGAACGGAGUGGCGAACGGGUUGGUAAUGCAUCUGAGCGUGGCCAGUAGCGGGUGAUACCUACGCGUAAGCGUAGCUAAUUCCGCAUACUAUUGGAGCGGCCGAUAUCGGGUUCGCUAGGUGGGGGGGUAACGGCCCACCAAGGCGACGAUCCGUAGCUGGUUUGAGAGGACGACCAGCCACACGUGGACUGUGACACGGCCCAGACUCCUACGGGAGGCAGCAGUGGGGAAUUUGGGACAAUGGGGGAAGCCCUGAUCCAGCCAUCCCGCGUGGGCGAUGAAGGCCAUCGGGUUUUAAAGCACUUUUGGCAGGAAAGCGGUACAUGUAGAAUCAGCACCGGCUAAUUACGUGCCAGCAGCCGCGGUAAUAC